CCACUGUAUUAAUGCUGCAAGGGACUUUUUAAUGUGUCAUUAUGACAGGUGGUGGAGGGAGCGAGCCGCAUUCCAGUGAGUGAGCCUGUCCCUGGCUAUAGUACUGGUGUUGGCCCUCUCACUGGUCAAAGCUGAAGGAGUUAAGGGGCAGAGGGAUUAGGAGAGAGACCCGGCUGGGGAAGAUGAACAGGUUUGUAAACACAACUGAAACCAGUUUAGGUUACAUUUUUUAAGUAAACAAAGGGAUUUUACUCUACUGAAACAUUACUGUUUACAACUUCAAAAAGAGGUACAAGUAAUUUUCACCUGUGAGCUGAUAUAUAUGUAUUAAUUACUGUAUUUUUUGCCCUAUAGGACACACUUUUUCCCCUCCUAAAAUGAAGGGGAAAUCUGUGUGCGUCAUAUGGGGCGAAUACAGGCUUUCGCUGAAGCUUGGUGCGCACCGACCCCUCUCGCUCUCCAGGCUUCAGGAAGCUAUCAGCAAGCCUGGGGAGCCUUCGGGAGUUCCCGCAGGGCUCCCUAGGCUGUGGAUAGCAGCCUGCUGCCCGGCGCGCGGGCGCCCUGAAGCAGAGCGCCCCGCGCGCUGGGCAGACAUCGGCCAGCCCCACAAGCUCGGGUGACAGCGGGGAGGCGAAGCACCGUCAUCCCACUGUUCCUCAACCUGGUUUGGAGGCUGGCGCUGGGGAGAAGCACGCUUCUCUCCAGUGCCAACCCCACAAGCUCGGGGACAGCGGGGAGGUAGAGCGCCGCCAUACCGCUGUUCCCCGACCUGGUUUGGUUUCCCCAACCUGGUUUUGGGGGGGAAAUAAAGGGGGGGAAAUUUCCUUUAUUUCCCCCCCAAAAAACUAGGUGUGUCCUAUGGGAUCAAACGUCCUAUGGGACGAAAAAUACGGUAGGUAUCUGUCUAAAAAGUGUUAGGAGAGGCAAUAAUCUUGAAAUCAAACGGAAACAGAAAGAAACUAGAAGACCAAAGAAGAAUUAAUCCUAAUCAAAGAGGUACAGUCAAUUGUGGACAAAAGAUGGACUUCGAGAAAGUCCCCAAAAGAGAGCUUAGCUAAGCAAAAUCUAAACAGAAAACUCAGAAAAAUACCAAGAUGAAGAUUUUAAGGAUAAUCACCAAAACAAAAAACACCACAUGACAACUGGAGAAGCCAAGAGAAAAUGAAGGAAUAUGAGGGGGAUAAAUCAAGUUUUGCUUACUUUUCAAACAAACCAAUCUUUGGAUGUAAAAAGGAGCACAUGAAAGCACAUAGAUGGCUUUGAAGUUUGCUUCAAGCACAGUGAAAAGUCUGGUCUCGGCUAAGAUAGCCAGCUCAGGGGUCCAUUUUUUCCUACACUUUGCUGACCCUUUAGCUUGACCGUUUAUCUCGUUCUAUGUCUGAGUUUUGGCCUGAGAUGGAGAGAAUCAAAGGGAGACGAUCACUCUCGGUUCUGUUAUCAAUACUAAAGUUUUUGAUUGAUUUAAAGGUCUUCCUGUUUGUGAGACAAUAGUCUACUGUGCUGGCUCCAUUAAUAUUUAUAAAUGUAAACUCUCCUUCGCUGCCCAAAGGAAACACCCCAUUUAUAAUCGUAAGGUAAAGACUUACCAUAUCUGUAAAGAGGCCAGGCAAAAGCCAGCGUAGUUGGUUAUGCAGUCUUUGGAGAAGCUGUGAGGGAGGGAGCGUAAGGAGGAAGGACUAUUUUCCUUGAGUUCCGUUAGCAUGUGGAAUUUAGCUUCCAGGCAGUCGUCGUUUGGGCCUUUUCGGCAGUUCAGGUCUCCCAUUAUAUAGAGUGGUGCAUCAGGGCACUAAUUUGGAGUAUAAUUUUUUUUGGAAAUUGCCCCAUGUACUCCCAAUCUGUACUUGCAGUUUGUAUGGCGGGAUAUAAGGUGAAACAAGAAUGAUACUUUGGGGCCCAGAGUGCAAGAUGAUCCCCAGCACCAAGUGCUUUGAAUCUUUAAAUUCAAUAAUCUGUGUUGUCAAGGAAGUGGAUACCAGUAUUACAAGGCCCUUCCUUGGACGUCCUUUCUCAUACAGUUUAGUGGCCUUAAUUUCAUGGGCAAAGUAACCCUCCAGGACUACAGUAUAUUGAAAGUUGUCCAGGUUUCUUGCAACAUUAUCACAUCGAAACGCGUUAUAUACUCUUGAAAUGACUCAUCCCCUACUUUGUUGGCACAACCUGCUAUGUUCCAUAAAACAAUAUUUAGGCUACUCUCGUCCCCGGCGAUUUGGCUUCAUUGUGGAGGGCAGAUUGUAGUUCUCCCUCUGUCUCAGUUAUAACACAACCAUUCUUGAGGUGUUUGAAGUGUUGUUCUUUCUGGGGUUGUUUGACAGACUUGUCCAGAUUGCCAGCCAUCAGCAGUAGUGUUCAAUUGUUUGUGGCUUUCGGGGGAUCGGAGUCUGGCAGUCUUGGUGUAAUGCUUUCCUCGGGUGGGGCAACGCCUGGCAAUGGAUGAUCUGUUUUCUGUGAAGAUGGUGAGUGGUGGAUUUCGAGAUCUACCAAAGUCCUGGUGGAAGAACUGAUUUUUGACACAGCUGAGUUGGGCAAGCAUUAUUUGUGUGCUUGGCCAUUAAACUCAGAAGGUUUUCUGUCCUGGGGGAUGUUUCGGCCAAAUUCUCCACCCAGAACCUGCCUUAGUGGCACUGGGGUUUGUGCCUUAAACCUUUGGCAAAUGCCUGCUGAUGAUGAGGGCUUGGAUUGAUUGGAGUCAGUCCGACUUCACAAAAGAUUCGGCAGUAUAGGCUUUAAUUCUGUGUCUUUAAAAACAUGCCUCAAGAUAAUUUUAUAAUCCUGUAGGCAGGUAUUGUAUAGUUUUGGAAUAACUGAAUCAGAGAAUGAUAAUAAAAGUCUAGAAUGCUGAGAGUCCGAUGAAAGCAGGUUUACCGUGGUAAGAUUGUUGCGCUGGAUGUUUAGCAACAGUUUGAAAUUUCACUUUGCACUUGCGAUUGAAUUCCAGAAAGGGAGCAGACCAUUAAAAGGGUAACCAUCGAGAACUACUUGAGAGCUUUGCAGGAUUAGUUUGCUGUUUUCAUGUUUGUUAUUCUUUCUGUAAGAGGUUUUACGGGUUCUGGCACAAGAACAGCUACACCCCUGAGUUUGAAGAUCUUGUUAAGAGCCAGACUCUUGGGUGGCAAUAGGACUGUUCCGGGUUGCCAACAGCGCCAACUCAGCCAGGAGGGACACUACCUUUUCUAAUUUGAGGUUAAUUUCCUCUACCAUUCUUGCUGUUAACAAACAGUGGUCCGCAAAUACAGUACUUCAGCUGUACUUUGGAGGUGGUACACCCUCAGCUGUUUUGUUUGUUGGUUGGUUUUAAAACUCAUUUUCUGUAAGACUGGUGGAAGGUGACUGGGGACAAACUAGUGAUUCUAGAUGUCUCUGUUCUGCCCCUCUAGAUUAAUGGCUCAUCCAGCUUCAAUUAAAAUGGCGGACAAAAUGGUAUUCCAUGACUGAAAGACAUUUAGGUGAGUAUCCCUUGGUUGGCCAGGGAGAAAAUCUCUGUUGUGUUCCGUCUGCAACUCAUUGUGCUAAGACUCUUUCAGGUUGCAGUGAGUGAGUUGUAAGAAGAGGCCCUAUUCUGUGUCACCACAAUGAGGCUCACCUGCAGGUAGGAGACCACUUCUUCUUUUGUUCUAGCCCUUCUCUCCUUUUGUUCCAGCUCGUCUUUCCUUCAGGUUUCUCAGAGUAUCCCUUGCAUGGCUAGGGAGAAAUCUCUAUUGUGUUCCAUCUGCAACUCAUUGUGCUAAGACUCUUUCAGGUUGGGGUGACGGAGUCGUCAGAAGAGGCCCUGUUCCAUGUCAUCACGAUGAGGCUCACCUUCAGGUAGGAGAAGACUUCUUUUCUUCCAGCUCUUCUUUCCUUCAGGCUUUGCAGAGUUCAGUGUACCUGAAUUGAGAGUCGCCUACUCUUGGACUGUGCUGCUUUAGGUAAGUUCACAUUGCACCACUCAGUGUUUUUUUCAAUACAUUUUUUUUUUUUUUUGUAUUGGUCUCUCCUUUUUCCCAUUUUCUUUUCUGCUGGUCUCUUCACAGGUCUCUCCAAAGAUCCUGCAACACUCAAAUGAAGACAGCUCUUCCAGCUGAGUCCCUGAAGUCAUGGUGGUAAGAAAAGCUGUUGGGUUGGUUUUUUUUUAAUCUCAUUUUCUGUUCCAUCUGCGACUCAUUGUGCUAAGGUUCUUUCAGGUUGGGGUGACUGAGUCAUCAGAAGAGGCCCUAUUCUGUGUCACUACAAUGAGGCUCACCUGCAGGUAGGAGAAGACUUCUUCUUUUGUUCCAGCUCCUCUUUUCUUCAGGCUUCCCAGAGUUCACUGUUCUUGAAGUGAGAGUCACCAGCAUUAGGACAGUGCUGCUUUAGGUAAGUUCACAUUGCACCACUCAGUCGUCUGUUUUCAAAACAAUGUCUUUGGUAUUGGUCUCUCCUUUUCCUCAUUUUCUUUUCUGCUGGUCUCUCCACAGGUCUCCCCAAAGAGCUCUUCUUAACGUCUUCAGGUUUUCUUUUUCCUGAGAGAACAUUCACAGAAUCUUCUCUCAGGUUUUGCUUUUCCCCUUGUUGCACUGCUCAAAAAAAAAAAGCAAAAGACACUGGUGGUCGGCACUCCUGGUUCCCAGGACGGGGUUCAAAUCCCUGCGGUGUCCAUGCUUACUUCCAAUGCAACUGCUAUCUCUCUCUAUCCCUAUCUCUCUAUGUCUCUCUAUCCCUCUCUAUCUCUCUAUGUCACUCUAUCCAUCUCUAUCUCUCUAUCCCUCUCUGUCUCUCUCUCCCUCUCUCUCCCACACUGCCCAAAUAAUGAUCCAGACAUGUAUCUAUGCUUCUUGCGCAUGCAGGCUUUUCACAGCAUCCACGCAGCAUUGCUGGAAUCAAAAUGCCAGCCACUAUCCUUCCCUCACCCCCAGCCAUAUAAUCCAGAUUUACAUUUUGGGUGGGAAAUCCAAAAAGUUACCGAAAACUGUGUCACCUGCCAAUGAUCAGUUUGCAAUAUUCAGCCCCCACCUGGAAGAACCCCGAGACUGAGAGGUAGCAGAAUCAGGUGCCUGCUUAGCGUCAACAUGCUCAUCAUUAACAAAGGGCAGUCUGCAUUGGCAUUAGGAUGUGGUUUAGGCAUGUGGCUGUGAGAAAGUGUUUGCUUAGGAAGUGGCAACAGAAAGGUGGGGCUGCAAAGGAUUUCAGAGAAGUAAGAUGAUCUUCUGUUAGCCGAGGAUUAGCCACAACUAUUCAGGCACUUAGUUCACUCCCUGUGCUAUUAUUUAGCUUAGGGGUUAUCCCCACUGUUUUUCCCCCCAGCGCUAAAACCCGCUUUUCAGCAAUAACGCAAAAAGCAUUUCUAAAUCAAUUACAUGCCACUGUGCUGCGUAACAUGCAUUUGUAAUAUCAAGGUUUUUGGGUUAUCCCAUUUCCCCCUGUCUCUUAACUCCUCCUCUGUGUCACUUCCAUCCUCUACCAGGCCCCUGCAUGCUAGAUGCAAGGUAGCAAGUUUUUAUAUAUAUACUUUUCAAAUUUAUACAUUUCAUUAAUUUUACAGACAUUUUAACAUUUCAGAGUUUGACUUUCUUCCCCCUCUUUCUGCAGUUCCUUAAAUUGGUUUUUUAAAUAUCUUCUGCAUAUCCAAAUUCACUUAAUUUGCUCAAUUAAUUAUCUGCUUUAAAUCUAGGUAAAGGUAAAGGACCCCUGGAUGGUUAAAUCCAGUCAAAAGUGACUAUGGGGUUGCGGCGAACAUCUCGCUUUCAGGCUGAGGGAGCCGGCGUUUGUCCACAGACAGCUUUCCGGGUCAUGUGGCCAGCAUGACUGAACCACUUUUGGGGCAAUGGAACACUGUGAUGGAAACCAGAGCGCACAGAAACAGUGUUUACCUUCUCGUCACAGCAGUACCUAUUUAUCUACUGGCACUGGCAUGCUUUUGAACUGCUAGGUUGGCAGGAGCUGGGACAGAGCAGCAGGAGCUCACCUCGUUGUGGGGAUUUGAACUGACAACCUUCUGAUCAGCAAGCCUAAGAAGCUCAGUGGUUUAGACCACAGCGCCACCUGCGUCUUAAAUAUAUAGUCUUAUGAAACUGCAGGUUAUUACAAUAAUCCUGCCAAUGUUUUUAUCUGUUUGCAAUUUAUCUGUAAAUAUUCAAUAAACCAUUUCCAUUCUUUUA
rnacentral:lncRNA from 1 species